rnacentral:rRNA from 1 species
CCUACGGGAGGCAGCAGUGGGGAAUCUUGCGCAAUGGGCGAAAGCCUGACGCAGCCAUGCCGCGUGAAUGAUGAAGGUCUUAGGAUUGUAAAAUUCUUUCACCGGGGACGAUAAUGACGGUACCCGGAGAAGAAGCCCCGGCUAACUUCGUGCCAGCAGCCGCGGUAAUACGAAGGGGGCUAGCGUUGCUCGGAAUUACUGGGCGUAAAGGGAGCGUAGGCGGAUAGUUUAGUCAGAGGUGAAAGCCCAGGGCUCAACCUUGGAAUUGCCUUUGAUACUGGCUAUCUUGAGUUUGGGAGAGGUGAGUGGAACUCCGAGUGUAGAGGUGAAAUUCGUAGAUAUUCGGAAGAACACCAGUGGCGAAGGCGACUCACUGGCCCAAUACUGACGCUGAGGCUCGAAAGCGUGGGGAGCAAACAGGAUUAGAUACCCUGGUAGUCCACGCCGUAAACGAUGAGUGCUAGUUGUCGGCAUGCAUGCAUGUCGGUGACGCAGCUAACGCAUUAAGCACUCCGCCUGGGGAGUACGGUCGCAAGAUUAAAACUUAAAUGAAAUUGACGG